ACUUAUCUACAAGAUUUGGGGAUGCGGCUCAAAGUGUAAGAUAUUUUAUGUCCUUCUAUGCAUUUAUCGAUACUGUAGCCUGUUGGCUGACUGUCCCUUACUUAUCCAAAACAUUGAGUUCUGCUACUUACCCAACCAGAUGUUAAAUAUUUCAAAAUGCGUCUUUAUAUUGUCAUUGUAUCGUAAUUGCUUCUCCUGAUGUGUUUUUGUUUUACACCAGCAUAUAUUUGGUCCAGAGAUGUUCAAUUGUUUGUCUGAUAAGAUAAUAUUUUACUUCUUUAUGGAGCACUCUUAUGGCAAGCACAUUUUUUCUGGAUGAACUGCUGGUUGGUUUUUUUCUCCAUAAAUACGAUAAAUUAUCAUAUCAUAUGAAAUGUCAAGAUAUACUGAAAAUAUGCCCUGUAUGAUGGUGGUCUGGCAUUUUAGAAUUGUUUUGGGCAAUUCAUGUUUGUAUGCAUUUUUUCUUUUGGCCCUUGAAGGCAUCUUUAAUAGUUUGCAAUUGCGAUAGAAAUUGCUGUGCUCGUAUCUUUAGUUUUAAUUACAAUUGGUCGAUCUACAACGAGUGCGUCUGAUUCCAACUCAUCAAGGUGAGCUCCCUCUUUUAUUCUUCUCAGGUAAUGAGGCGUCAGUGUAGGCCCAAUCUUUUUGUUUGUUGCUUUGAAGAGUGUUGUCAUGUUGUGGAAAGGCAACAUGUGCUUGAUAUGUGGAGUUGGUGUUGAGCCUGGCGGUAGUAGACAGGGAAGGCACCCAUCUCACUUGAUCUUGAGAGUUGAUUCAUAUCUUCUUUUCUUGACCUGAUUGAGUUCCUGUAUAUGCAAGGAUAAAGAAGAAGGGGCAUUGUCGUGGUUGUUGCUUAAGGUGUUGGUCAGGAGCUGAUUGCCGGGACUGAUGACAAGAACGGAGAGCAGGAUGAGUAUGUCAACAUGAUGUUCCUUGAUGUUGGCCUUCUUUUAUAAAGUUCACAUGCAAACUCUCCUCCAUGGUUAGAAAAAACUAAUUUAAACAUUUUGUUUCUUUGGUGGUUACUCAUUUCUCUUACCAUUGUUGUAUCAAAACAAUUGUAUUUUCGUUGAUGGCCACUUAGGCUCAUUUUUGAGGAGAAUGAGAUGUGGAAUAAACUACUCUGAAAUGGUUGGUUCCCUUCAGACAGUUUAUUAGCUAACUAAUUUUGGCUGCUGGUGCACAUGAUACAAUUGUGCUAUGUUGUUUCCAUCUUGCAUUUUAUGUGAGCUUAAACAGACAAUCAAUUAAACUUUUACUAAGUUCUUACUGUAUGUAUUUGCUCAAAUAUAGUUAUUGAAAAAAAUCAAAUAUUUUUAGCAAGUACAUGGUUUUAAAUGGGACUCGGUGCCAUUUAGCGCGAUGGGCAGUGUUAUAGAAAUGUAUUUUUUUGGUGCAAUAGUUAUACACUUUUUUUUCAAACUUGGAUUUCACAAUGUGAUACACAUUUUCAAAAGAGUAUGGUUUAAUAUAUGGGCUUUCUACAACGAGUACUGAAUAUGUCCUUGCAAAAGAUACUAUUUUCACCCACAACAUGGCUUUAGCGGGUCUCUGCACCAUUUGGCGCAACGGAUAAGAAAUCGCACUAGUCCGCGGCUGAGGAACCGCCUCUGUCACCGAGCUGAGGAACCGAGAAAGAAAGGAAGGGGAUAGACAUUCUCCGCUGGAUCCGUCCCCUGCCGCUUCAUACUCAACUCGGUCCACAUGCAUUGCUCUAUGUGGGUUGGGCUAAAUAACAUAUGAGCUAUCCUAAUACCUCCUGAUCCCUAUAUCUUUGUAUGUGCACAACAAAGACAUGUUUUUUUUCCUUAGGUUUCUUAUCUUUUUCCUUUUUUUUUCCAGGUAUGGACUAUCAUAAUACCUCCUAAUCCCUAUAUCUCUGUAUAUGCACAACAAAGACAUGUUUUUUUUCUCAGGUUUCUUAUCUUUUUCCUUUUUUUUGCAGGAAAAAGAUGCCAUGUUUUCAAACUUGCUAAAAAAAUACAACCAUGCCAAUUUUACUCUCUCAUCAUAAUGGUCAUAUUUUCAAACUGAACAUAUUCAUAUUAUGCAAAGUUUCCCUUUUCCCAGAUUAUUAUUUAACAGCGUAAUAAACAUGUUUGAAAAAUAGCAUGAUUUAGUUGAAGGUUCUUGCAGCAUGAAACUAUUUUCAUCGACAGCAUGUCUUCAGCAGGUCUCUGCGCCAUUUGGCGCAACGGGUCAACUAGUAUAUAAAAAUACUGGAAGAAGAAUCCACGUCAGAGGGCCCACACCCUGUCCACGAGGGUGGGGGCGCGCCUACCCCUGGGCGCGCCCCCUGCCCCGUGGGCCCCCUGACGCUCGACCGACCUAAACUCCAACUCCAUAUAUUCGUGUUCGGGGAGAAAAAAUCAGAGAGAAGGAUUCAUCGCGUUUCAAGAUACGGAGCCGCCGCCAAACCCUAAACUCUCUCGGGAGGGCUGAUCUGGAGUCCGUUCGGGGCUCUAGAGAGGGGAAUCCGUCGCCAUCAUCAUCAUCAUCAACCUUCCUCCAUCAUCAAUUUCAUGAUGCUCACUGCCAUGUGUGAGUAAUUCCAUCAUAGGCUUGCUGGACGGUGAUGGGUUGGAUGAGAUUUAUCAUGUAAUCGAGUUAAUUUUGUUAGGGUUUGAUCCCUAGUAUCCACUAUGUUCUAAGAUUGAUGUUGCUAUGACUUUGCUAUGCUUAAUGCUUGUCACUAGGGCCUGAGUGCCAUGAUUUCAGAUCUGAACCUAUUAUUUUUUCAUUAAUAUAUGAGAGUUCUUGAUCCUAUCUUGCAAGUCAAUAGUCACCUACUAUGUGUUAUGAUCCGACAACCCCGAAGUGACAAUAAUCGGGACCACUCCCGGUGAUGACCGUAGUUUGAGGAGUUCAUGUAUUCACUAUGUGUUAAUGCUUUGGUCUGGUACUCUAUUAAAAGGAGGCCUUAAUAUCCCUUAGUUUCCAUUAGGACCCUGCUGCCACGAGAGGGUAGGACAAAAUAUGUCAUGCAAGUUCUUUUCCAUAAGCACGUAUGACUAUAUUUGGAAUACAUGCCUACAUUACAUUAAUGAACUGGAGCUAGUUCUGUGUCACCCUAGGUUAUAACUAUUGCAUGAUCGAUCGCAUCCGACAUAAUUCUCCAUCAUCAAUCCAAUGCCUACGAGGUUUUCAUAUAUUGUUCUUCGCUUAUUUACUUUUCCGUUGCUACUGUUAUAAUCAUUACAAAACCCAAAAAUAUUACUUUUGCUACUGUCACUACUACUAUCAUAUUACUUUGCUACUAAACACUUUGCUGCAGAUAUUAAGUUUCCAGGUGUGGUUGAAUUGACAACUCAACUGCUAAUACUUGAGAAUAUUCUUUGGCUCCCCUUGUGUCGAAUCAAUAAAUUUGGGUUGAAUACUCUACCCUCGAAAACUGUUGCGAUCCCCUAUACUUGUGGGUUAACAGCAUCACCGUUGGAGAAACUAGAAAUAUCACGCAAGAAACCGUAGGGAGCAUUCACUUUCCUGCCAUACAUUACUUUGUUGUCUUUAUAGGUAGAUGCAUUAACGGUAAACACAAGCAUUGCCACCUUUGUGGUCCAGAUCUUAAUGGCCUCAAGUGUGCGGUGUUAGGCGAUAAGCGUUAUAACUUGGGAGCCAUUAUUGCUAGGAGGUUACAUCUUAAUGCUAAAGAUGGAGAUUUAUUUGGUGGGAUUUAUGCAACUCGUUUAGCUAAAUAUUUGGGUGUACCUAUUAGAGGGUAUGAUAUUGAGUUGCCACCUGCUUUUCUAGAUUAUGAGGCUAUGGUACGAUAUCAGUUUCUCAAGAGGAAUGAGCUGAUCCUCCAGUACCGACUAAUCUUUGAUAGACGAAGCAUUGUCCUUGUUACUCUUCCUGCCCUUGCUUUCUUUAACUUUUAGGCAAAUGGGCGAUAUUUUAUAACUAGAGAGGAGGCAAACGAGUAUGAGAGAACAACGGAGGCUGCUCGCCUCCAUGCUGCAACCCUUCAGGCAGUAGCUGAUGCGUCUCAGUACAACCCCAACUACAACUUUGGAUAUCCAUCAGGCCAGUGGCCUUAGACCAACUUAGUCCAAAAGCCUAAGCUUGGGGGAGUAUGUAUUCCUCACUGACAUUACAUUCAUGUUCACUCAUUUCAGUUGUUAGUGUUCAUACUUUUUCAUUGUAUCAUCCAUGUUAGUUUAUUUCUUUUUACCGCUUUCUUCUUGUGUGUUUGAAAAACCUUAAGAAAAAUCAAAAAAAUUAGUUGUAGUUAGUCUACUUUCUAUGCAUGCUUAGUAGUAAUAUCAAUAGAAAACCCAAAAAGAUUUCUUGUUCUUCUUUUGCUUGUUGGGAGCUUUCCCGUGUAAAUAGUUUUUCUCGCUCUUGUUUUAUCUUCCUUCAGAAAAACAAAAACUCCAAAAAUCAUUUUAGUGUGUUUCUUUGAAUUUAUUUUCUUUUCUUUGGGGGUCGAGAGGAGAAGACCACGAUGAAAAUGUUGAGUGGCUCUCAUAUGCAUUAUUGUUGAUCUAGCAAAGAGCCCAUAUUACCUUGCCCAUAUUACCUUGUCUUCUCCUUCGAAUAAAUGUUUGCAUAUUCUAGCUUAGUCCAAUGCAUGUGAACUCUUAUUAUUAUCCGCACUGUUCGGUCGUGCAAGUGAAAGGCAAUAAUGACGAUAUAUGAUGAAAUGAUUGAGAUGAGGAAAAGCUGGUAUGAACCCGACCUAUCUUGUUUUUGUAAAUAUGAUUAGUUCAUCAUUCCUGAUUCAGCCUAUUAUGAAUGAAACAUGUUUGCAAUGACAAUUAGAGAUUAUAGUUAUUCAUGCCAUGCUUACUUAGCUAGGAGUUUAUAAUGGUUUACCUUGCGUGCCAACAUGCUAUUAAAAUGGUUGUGAUGUAGUAUGAUAGGAUGGUAUCCUCCUUUGAAUGAUUCGAGUGGCUUGACUUGGCACAUGUUCACACCUGUAGUUGAAACAAAAUCAACAUAGCCUCUACGAUAUUUAUGUUCAUGGUGAUUUAUAUCCUACUAAUGCUUGCAUUCAAUGUUGGUUAGUCUCAAUGCAUGUUUAUGACUGUUGUUGCUCUCUAGUUGGUCGCCUCCAAGUCUUUUUCUAGCCUUCACUUGUACUAAGCGGGAAUACUGCUUGUGCAUCCACUUCCAUAAACCCCAAAGUUGUUCCAUAUAAGUCCACCAUACCUACCUAUAUGUGGUAUUUACCUGCCGUUCCUAGUAAAUUUGCAUGUGCCAAACUCUAAACCUACAAAUAAUAAUCUGUUUUGUAUGCUUGAAUCGCUCAUGUACCAACUAGAGCUAUCAAUAUCUUCCAUGCUAGGUGGGUUAUUCUCACGAUGAGUGGACUCCGCUCAUCAUUCACGAGAAAAUGGCUGGUAACCGGGAUGCCCAGUCCCAUGCUAAAAUCAAAUCAAAAUAAUUGCAAACAAAACUCCCACAGGACUGUUGUUAGUUGGACGGUACUUGUUGUUUCGGACCAGCCGUGGAGUGUGCUUGUUGAUGGCGGGGGAGUAUGAAAUUUACCAUUUUGUUUGGGAACCGCCUAUAAUGUAUGUAGCAUGGAAGAUACCGAGAUAUCUUAGUUGUUACAUUGACAAUGAAAGCAUACCGCUCAAAAUAUUAUUUAUCUCUAUUUCAAAACUCGAGCUCUAGCACCUCUACAAAUCCCUGCUUCCCUCUGCGAAGGGCCUAUCUAUUUACUUUUAUUGCUGAGUCAUCAUCCUCUUAUAAAAAGCAACAAUUAGAGAGCACCAUUGUCAUUUGUAUACAUUGUUAUUAAUUUAUAUUGAGUAUGACUGGAUCUCUUUUACCAUGAAUUACAAUGUCUAGUCAGUCCUUGAUGUUCAGGGGUGCUCUAUAUUUAUGUUUUGCGGUCUCAGAAAGGGCUAACCAGAUACCAUCUUGUUAUAUCAUAUCAUGAUUGUUUUGAGAAAGUGUUGUCAUCCGACAUUUAUUCUCAUUACUCGCUAGUUGAUUAUGCCAUUGAUAGGAGUAAAUGUGAGACCUAAAUGUUAUUGUGAAUAUGGUUAGUUCAUAAUCUUUGCUGAAAACUUGAAUGCUGGCUUUACAUAUUUGCAACAACAAGAUCAAACAGAGUUUGUAAAAUUUUUUCUUUGUCACUUUCAGUUUGUCAACUAAAUUGCUUGAGGACAAGCAAUGGGUUAAGCUUGGGGGAGUUGAUACGUCUCUGUCGUAUCUACUUUUUCAAACUCUUUUGCCCUUGUUUUGGAAUCUAAUUUGCAUGAUUUGAAUGGAACUAACCCGGACUGCCGCUAUUUUCAGUAGAAUUGCCAUGGUGUUAUUUUGUGUAGAAUAAAAAGUUCUUGGAAUGACCUGAAACUUCAUGGAGAUAAGUUUGGAAUUAAUAAAAAAUACUAGCAAAAGAAUCAAGUGAUGGGGUCCCACACCCUGGCCACAAGGGUGUGGGCGCGCCACCCGACCUUGUGGCCCCCCUGGACCUCCACCGACCGCAACUCCAACUACAUAUAUUCCCUUUCGGGGAGAAAAUAUCAGAGAGAAGGAUGUUGGGGAACAUAGUAAUUUCAAAAAAUUUCCUACGCACACGCAAGAUCAUGGUGAUGCAUAGCAACGAGAGGGGAGAGUGUUGUCCACGUACCCUCGUAGACCGAAAGCGGAAGCGUUAGCACAACGCGGUUGAUGUAGUCGUACGUCUUCCCGAUCCGACCGAUCAAGUACCAAACGCACGGCACCUGCGAGUUCUGCACACGUUCAACUCGAUGACGUCCCUCGAACUCCGAUCCAGCCGAGUGUUGAGGGAGAGUUUCGUCAGCACGACGGCGUGGUGACGAUGAUGAUGUUCUACUGACGUAGGGCUUCGCCUAAGCACUGCUACGAUAUGAUCGAGGUGGAUUAUGGUGGAGGGGGGCACCGCACACGGCUAAGAGAUCAAGAGAUCAAUUGUUGUGUCUUUGGGGUGCCCCUGCCCCCGUAUAUAAAUGAGUGGCGGAGGGGGAGGGCCGACCCUCUCUAUGGCGCGCCCUAGGGGAGUCCUACUCCCACCGGGAGUAGGAUUCCCCCUUUCCUAGUAGAACUAGGAGCCCUUCCAAGUAGUAGGAGUAGGAGGGAAGGAAAGGGAAGGGAAAAGGAGAAGGAAAGAAGGGGGCGCCCCCUCCCUAGUCCAAUUCGGACCAGCCCAUGGGGAUGGGUGUGGCCACCCUUUGAGGCCUUUCUCUCCUUUCCCGUAUGGCCCAUUAAGGCCCAAUACGAAUUCCCGUAACUCCCCGGUACUCCCAAAAAUACCCGAAUCACUCGGAACCUUUCCGAUGUCCGAAUAUAGUCGUCCAAUAUAUCGAUCUUUACGUCUCGACCAUUUCGAGACUCCUUGUAAUGUCCUUCAUCUCAUCCGGGACUCCGAACUCUUUCGGUACAUCAAAACACAUAAACUCAUAAUAUAACCAUCAUCGAACUUUAAGCGUGCAGACCCUACGGGUUCGAGAACUAUGUAGACAUGACCGAGACACGUCUCCGGUCAAUAACCAAUAGUGGAACCUGGAUGCUCAUAUUGGCUCCUACAUAUUCUACGAAGAUCUUUAUCGGUCAAACCGCAUAACAACAUACGUUGUUCCCUCUGUCAUCGGUAUGUUACUUGCCCAAGAUUCGAUCGUCGGUAUCUCAAUAACUAGUUCAAUCUCGUUACCGGCAAGUCUCUUUACUCGUUCCGUAACACAUCAUCCCGCAACUAACUCAUUAGUUGCAAUGCUUGCAAGGCUUAUAGUGAUGUGCAUUACCGAGUGGGCCCAGAGAUACCUCUCCGACAAUCGGAGUGACAAAUCCUAAUAUCGAAAUACGCCAACCCAACAAGUACCUUCGGAGACACCUGUAGAGCACCUUUAUAAUCACCCAGUUACGUUGUGACGUUUGGUAGCACACAAAGUGUUCCUCCGGUAAACGGGAGUUGCAUAAUCUCAUAGUCAUAGGAACAUGUAUAAGUCAUGAAGAAAGCAAUAGCAACAAACUAAAUGAUCAAGUGCUAUGCUAACGAAAUGGGUCAAGUCAAUCACAUCAUUUUCUAAUGAUGUGACCCCGUUAAUCAAAUGACAACUCAUGUCUAUGGCUAGGAAACUUAACCAUCUUUGAUUCAACGAGCUAGUCAAGUAAAGGCAUACUAGUGACAUACUGUUUGUCUAUGUAUUCACACAUGUAUUAUGUUUCCGGUUAAUACAAUUAUAGCAUGAAUAAUAAACAUUUAUCAUGAUAUAAGGAAAUAAAUAAUAACUUUAUUAUUGCCUCUAGGGCAUAUUUCCUUCAGUCUCCCACUUGCAUUAGAGUCAAUAAUCUAGUUCACAUCGCCAUGUGAUUUAACAUCAAUAGUUCACAUUACCAUGUGAUUCACACCCAUAGUUCACAUCGUCAUGUGACCAACACCAAAAGGGUUUACUAGAGUCAAUAAUCUAGUUCACAUCGCUAUGUGAUUAAUACCCAAAGAGUACUAAGGUGUGAUCAUGUUUUGCUUGUGAGGGAAGUUUUAGUCAACGGGUCUGAUACGUCUCCGUCGUAUCUAUAAUUUUUGAUUAUUCCAUGCCAAUAUUCUACAACUUUCAUAUACUUUUCACAACUUUUUAUACUAUUUUUGGGACUAACAUAUUGAUCCAGUGCCCAGUGCCAGUUCCUGUUUGUUGCAUGUUUUUUGUUUAGCAGAAUAUCCAUAUCAAACAGAGUCUAAACGGAAUAAAAACUGAUAGAGAUUUUCUUUGGAAUAUAUAUGAUUUUUGGGAAGAAAAAUCCACGCGAGACGGUGCCCGAGGUGGCCACGAGGCAGCAGGACGCGCCUGCCCCCCAGGUGCGCCCCUGACCCUCAUGGGCUACCCGUAAGGCGGUUGAUGCCCUUCUUUCGCCGCAAGAAAGCUAAUUUCCGGAUAGAGAUCGUGUCAAAAUUUCAGCCCAAUCGGAAUGACGGAUCUUCGGGAAUAUAAGAAACGGUGAAAGGGAAGAAUCUGAGAACGCAGAAAAAGAGAGAGACAAAGAGACAAAUCCAAUCUCGGAGGGGCUCUUUCCCCUCCCAUGCCAUGGAGGCCAUGGACCAGAGGGGAAACCCUUCUCCCAUCUAGGGAGGAGGUCAAGGAAGAAGAAGAAGGAGGGGGGAUCUCUCCCCCUCGCUUCCGGUGGCACCAGAGUGCCACCGGGGGCCAUCAUCAUCACUGCGAUCUACACCAACACCUCCGCCAUCUUCAGCAACAUCUCCAUCACCUCCCCCCCUCUAUCUACAGCGUUCCACUCUCCCGCAACCCGCUAUACCCUCUACUUGAACAUGGUGCUUUAUGCUUCAUAUUACUUGAGCACUAUAUGCCUAGCUUAAUGGCUUUAAAGAAAGCGCUGCCAGGGAGACAACCCAAAAGUUUUAGAGAGUCAUUUAUUUCUGUUGUGUGCUUUUAUAAAGUUUAGAAAUAAAAAUAAUGUGCCAAGAUUUGCCUUUAGGAUGUCUACAUUUGCUUGAUGGUUUGUACGGUGCAGGACAGAAACUUCGGCUGUAGUGCGCAAUUUUACAUUUUUAGCUAGAACGUCAAAUGGUUCUGUAUCUUUUUGCAAUGUCUUCCUAUACAAAUUGUUUAUUUUCCUAAUUUUGGUAGAAGUUUUCAAGUAACAUAAGCAUGGUGAAUGUUCAGAUUAUUACAGACUUUUCUGUUUUAGACAGAUUCUGUUUUUGAUGCAUAGUUUGCUUGUUUUGAUGAAACUAUCAAUUUAUAUUAGUGGAUUAAGCCAUGAAAAAGUUAUAUUACAGUAGACACAAUGAAAAAAAUAAAAUAUGAAUUGGUUUGCAACAGUACUUAGAGUAGUGAUUUGCUUUAUUAUACUAAUGGAUCUUACCGAGUUUUCUGUUGAAGUUUUGUGUGGAUGAAGUGUUCGAUGAUCGAGAAGGUCUCGAUGUGAGAAGAAGGAAGAGAGGCAAGAGCUCAAGCUUGGGGAUGCCCGAGGCACCCCAAGUAAAUAUUCAAGGAGACUCAAACAUCUAAGCUUGGGGAUUCCCCGGAAGGCAUCCCCUCUUUCUUCAACAAGUAUCGGUAUGUUUUCGGAUUCGUUUCGUUCAUGCGAUAUGUGCAAUCUUGGAGCGUCUUUUGCAUUUAGUUUUCAUUUUUCUUUUAUGCACCAUGCUGGUAUGAGAUAGUCCUUGGUUGAUUUAUAGAAUGCUCUAUGCACUUCACUUAUAUCUUUUGAGUAUGGCUUUAUAGAAUGCUUCAUGUGCUUCACUUAUAUCAUUCGAAGUUUGGAUUGCCUAUUUCUCUUUACAUAGAAAACCGCCAUUUGUAGAAUGCUCUUUUACUUCACUUAUAUUUGUUAGAGCAUGGGAAUAUCUUUUGUAGAAAGAAUUAAACUCUCUUGCUUCACUUAUAUCUAUUUAGAGAGAUGACAGGAACCGGUCAUUCACAUGGUUAGUCAUAAAAUCCUACAUAAAACUUGUAGAUCACUGAAUAUGAUGUGUUUGAUUCCUUGCAAUAGUUUUGCGAUAUAAAGAUGGUGAUAUUAGAGUCAUGCUAGUGGGUGGUUGUGAAUUGUAGAAAUACUUGUGUUGAGGUUUGUGAUUCCCGUAGCAUGCAUGUAUGGUGAACCGUUAUGUAACGAAGUUGGAGCAUGAGGUAUUUAUUGAUUGUCUUCCUCAUGAGUGGCGGUCGGGGACGAGCGAUGGUCUUUUCCUACCAAUCUAUCCCCCUAGGGGCAUGCAUAGUAGUACUUUGCUUCGAGGGCUAAUAAACUUUUGCAAUAAGUAUGUGAGUUCUUUAUGACUAAUGUUGAGUCCAUGGAUUAUACGCACUCUCACCCUUCCACCAUUGCUAGCCUCUCUAGUACCGCGCAACUUUCGCCGGUACCAUAAACCCACAUUAUAUCUUCCUCAAAACAGCCACCAUACCUACCUAUCAUGGCAUUUCCAUAGCCAUUCCGAGAUAUAUUGCCAUGCAACUUCCAUCAUCAUCAUAUACAUGACUUGAUCAUUCAUUGUCAUAUUGCUUUGCAUGAUCGUAAGAUAGCUAGCAUGAUGUUUUCAUGGCUUGUCCGUUUUUUGAUGUCAUUGCUACGCUAGAUCAUUGCACACCCCGGUACACCGCCGGAGGCAUUCAUAUAGAGUCAUAUCUUUGUUCUAUAUAUCGAGUUGUAAUAUUGAGUUGUAAGUAAAUAAAAGUGUGAUGAUCAUCAUUAUUAGAACAUUGUCCCAUGUGAGGUUAUCAAAAUAAAAGUGGCCAAAGAAGCCCCCCCCCCCAAAAAAAAGAGAGAGGCCAAAGAAGCCUACAACAAAAAAGAAAAAAAGAAAAAAAAAGAAAAAAAUGAGAGAAAAAGAGAGAAGGGGCAAUGUUGCUAUCCUUUUACCACACUUGUGCUUCAAAGUAGCACCAUGUUCUUCAUAUAGAGAGUCUCUUGAGUUAUCAGUUUCAUAUACUAGUGGGAAUUUUCAUUAUAGAACUUGGCUUGUAUAUUCCAACAAUGGGAUUCCUCAAAUGCCCUGGGUCUUCAUGAGCAAGCAAGUUGGAUGCACACCCACUUAGUUUCAGUUUGAGCUUUCAUAUACUUAUAGCUCUAGUGCAUCUGCUGCAUGGCAAUCCCUACUCACUCACAUUGAUAACUAUUGAUGGGCAUCUCCAUAGCCCGUUGAUACACCUAGUUGAUGUGAGACUAUCUUCUCCUUUUUGUCUUCUCCACAACCACCAUUCUAUUCCACCUAUAGUGCUAUGUCCAUGGCUCACGCUCAUGUAUUGCGUGAAGGUUGAAAAUGCUGAAGCGUGUUAAAAAGUAUGAACCAAUUGCUCCGCUUGUCAUCGGGGUUGUGCAUGAUGUGAGUAUUUUGUGUGGUGAAGAUGGAGCAUAGCCAGACUAUAUGAUUUUGCAGGGAUAACUUUCUUUGGCCUUGUUAUUUUGAAAAGACAUGAUUGCUUUAUUAGUAGGCUUGAGGUAUUAUUGUUUUUAUGUCAAAUGACAGAAUAUUGCUUUGAAUCACUCGUAUCUUAAUAUUCAUGCCAUGAUUAGACAUAUGAUCAAGAUUAUGCUAGCUAGCAUUCCACAUCAAAAAUUAUCUUUUUUAUCAUUUACCUACUCGAGGACGAGCAGGAAUUAAGCUUGGGGAUGCUGAUACGUCUCCGUCGUAUCUAUAAUUUUUGAUUGUUCCAUGCCAAUAUUCUACAACUUUCAUAUACUUUUGGCAACUUUUUAUACUAUUUUUGGGACUAACAUAUUGAUCUAGUGCCCAGUGCCAGUUCCCGUUUGUUGCAUGUUUUUUGUUUCGCAGAAUAUCCAUAUCAAACGGAGUCCAAACAGAAUAAAAACCAAUGGAGAUUUUUUUGGAAUAUAUAUGAUUUUUGGGAAGAAAAAUCCACGCGAGACGGUGCCCGAGGUGGCCAUGAGGCAGGAGGGCGCACCUGCCCCCCCAGGCGCGCCCCUGACCCUCAUGGGCCACCCGUAAGGCGGUUGAUGCCCUUCUUUCGCCGCAAGAAGCUAAUUUCCGGAUAGAGAUCGUGUCAAAAUUUCAGCCCAAUCGGAGUUACGGAUCUCCGGGAAUAUAAGAAACGGUGAAAGGGAAGAAUCUGAGAACGCAGAAAUAGAGAGAGACAGAGAGACAGAUCCAAUCUCGGAGGGGCUCUCACCCCUCCUGUGCCAUGGAGGCCAUGGACCAGAGGGGAAACCCUUCUCCCAUCUAGGGAGGAGGUCAAGGAAGAAGAAGGAGGGGGGCUCUCUCCCCCUCGCUUCCGGUGGCACCAGAGUGCCACCGGGAGCCAUCAUCAUCACCGCAAUGUACACCAACACCUCUGCCAUCUUCACCAACAUCUCCAUCACCUUCCCCCCUCUAUCUAUAGCGGUCCACUCUCCCGCAACCCGCUGUACCCUCUACUUGAACAUGGUGCUUUAUGCUUCAUAUUAUUAUCCAAUGAUGUGUUGCCAUCCUAUGAUGUCUGAGUAGAUUUUCGUUGUCCUAUCGGUGGUUGAUGAAUUGCUAUGAUUGAUUUAAUUUGCUUGUGGUUACGUUGCUGUCCUUUGGUGCCCAUCAUAUGAUUGCGCGUGUGGAUCACACCCUAGGGUUAGUUGUAUGUUGAUAGGACUAUGUAUUGGAGGGCAAGAGUGACAGAAGCUUCAACCUAGCAUAGAAAUUGAUGCAUACGAGAUUGAAGGGGACCAAUAUAUCUUAAUGCUAUGGUUGGGUUUUACCUUAAUGAACAUUAGUAGUUGCGGAUGCUUGCUAAUAGUUCCAAUCAUAAGUGCAUAGAAUUCCAAGUCAGGGAUGACAUGCUAGCAGUGGCCUCUCCCACAUAAUACUUGCUAUCGGUCUAGUAAAGUAGUCAAUUGCUUAGGGGCAAUUUCGCAACUCCUACCACCACUUUUCCACACUCGCUAUAUUUAAUUUAUUGUUUGUUUAUCUAAACAGCCCCUACUUUUUAUUUACGUACUCUUUAUUAUCUUGCAAACCUAUCCAACAACACCUACAAAGUACUUCUAGUUUCAUACUUGUUCUAGGUAAAGCGAACGUCAAGCGUGCGUAGAGUUGUAUCGGUGGUCGAUAGAACUUGAGGGAAUAUUUGUUCUACCUUUAGCUCCUUGUUGGGUUUGACACUCUUACUUAUCGAAAUCUGUUGCGAUCCCCUAUACUUGUGGGUUAUUAGGAUCUGCCACAUUCAGAUCCGUAUGUAUUUUGCAAAUUUCUAUGUCAACAAUGCUCUGCACGGAGCUACUCUAGCUAAUUUCUCCCACUUUCAAUAUGUAUCCAGAUUGAGACUUUGAGUCAUCUGGAUCAGUGUCAAAACUUGCAUCGACGUAACCCUUUACGACGAACCUUUUGUCACCUCCAUAAUCGAGAAACAUAUCCUUAUUCUACUAAGGAUAAUUUUGACCAAUGUCCAGUGAUCUACUCCUAGAUCACUAUUGUACUCCCUUGACAAACUCAGGGCAGGGUAUACAAUAGGUCUGGUACACAGCAUGGCAUACUUUAUAGAACCUAUGGCUGAGGCAUAGGAAAUGACUUUCAUUCUCUCUCUAUAUUCUGCCGUGGUCGGGUUUUGAGUCUUACUCGACUUCACACCUUGUAACACAGGCAAGAACUCCUUCUUUGACUGUUCCAUUUUGAACUACUUCAAAAUCUUGUCAAGGUAUGUACUCAUUGAAAAACUUAUCAAGCGUCUUGAUCUAUCUCUAUAGAUCUUGAUGCUCAAUAUGUAAGCAGCUUCACCGAGGUCUUUCUUUGAAAAACUCCUUUCAAACAUUCCUUUAUGCUUUACGGAAUAAUUCUACAUAAUCUCCGAUCAACAAUAUGUCAUUCACAUAUACUUAUCAGAAAUGCUGUAGUGCUCCCACUCACUUUCUUGUAAAUACAGGCUUCACCGCAAGUCUGUAUAAAACUAUAUGCUUUGAUCAACUUAUCAAAGCGUAUAUUCCAACUCCGAGAUGCUUGCACCAGUCCAUAGAUGGAUCGCUGGAGCUUGCAUAUUUUGUUAGUACCUUUAGGAUUGACAAAACCUUCUGGUUGCAUCAUAUACAACUCUUCUUUAAUAAAUCCAUUAAGGAAUGUAGUUUUGUUUAUCCAUUUGCCAGAUUUCAUAAAAUGCGGUAAUUGCUAACAUGAUUCGGACAGACUUAAGCAUAGAUACGAGUGAGAAACUCUCAUCGUAGUCAACACCUUGAACUUGUCGAAAACCUUUUUGCGACAAUUCUAGCUUUGUAGAUAGUAACACUACUAUCAGCGUCCGUCUUCCUCUUGAAGAUCCAUUUAAUCUCAAUGGCUCGCCGAUCAAUGGGCAAGUCAAUCAAAGUCCAUACUUUGUUCUCAUACAUGGAUAUCAUCUCAGAUUUCAUGGCCUCAAGCCAUUUUGCGGAAUCUGGGCUCAUCAUCGCUUCCUAAUAGUUCAUAGGCUCGUCAUGGUCAAGUAACAUGACCUCCAGAACAGGAUUACCGUACCACUCUGGUGCGGAUCUCACUCUGGUUUACCUACGAGGUUCGGUAGUAACUUGAUCUAAAGUUACAUGAUCAUCAUCAUUAGCUUCCUCACUAAUUGGUGUAGUAGUCACAGGAACAGAUUUCUGUGAUGAACUACUUUCCAAUAAGGGAGCAGGUACAGUUACCUCAUCAAGUUCUACUUUCCUCCCACCCACUUCUUUCGAGAGAAACUCCUUGUCUAAAAAGGAUCCAUUCUUAGCAAUGAAUAUCUUGCCUUCGGAUCUGUGAUAGAAGGUGUACCCAACAUUUUCUUUUGGGUAUCCUAUGAAGAUGCACUUCUCCGAUUUGGGUUUGAGCUUAUUAGGUUGAAACUUUUUCACAUAAGCAUUGCAACCUCAAACUUUAAGAACGAUAGCUUUGGUUUCUUGCCAAACCAUAGUUCAUAUGGUGUCGUCUCAACGGAUUUAGAUGGUGCCCUAUUUAAUGUGAAUGUAGCUGUCUCUAAUGCAUAACCCCAAAAUGAUAGUGGUAAAUCGGUAAGAGACAUCAUAGACCGCACCAUAUCUAAUAAAGUACGGUUACGACGUUCGGACACACCAUUACACUGUGGUGUUCCAGGUGGCGUGAGUAGUAAAACUAUUUCACAUUGUUUUAACUGAAGGCCAAACUCAUAACUCAAAUAUUUUACUUCUGUGAUCAUAUCGUAGAAACUUUUAUUUUUGUUACGAUGAUUCUCCACUUCACUCUGAAAUUCUUUGAACUUUUCAAAUGUUUCAGACUUGUGUUUUAUCAAGUAGAUAUACUCAUAUCUGCUCAAAUCAUCUAUGAAGAUCAGAAAAUAAUGAUACCCUGCGAGCCUCAAUAUUCAUCGGACCACAUACAUCAGUAUGCAUGAUUUCCAACAAAUAUGUUGCUCGCUCCAUUGUUCCGGAGAACGGAGUCUUAGUCAUCUUGCCCAUGAGGCAUGGUUCGCAAGCAUCAACUGAUUCAUAAUCAAGUGAUUCCAAAAGCCCAUCAGCAUGGAUUUUUUUCAUGCGCUUUACACCAAUAUGACCUAAACGGCAGUGCCACAAAUAAGUUGCACUAUCAUUAUUAACUUUGCAUCUUUUGGCUUCAAUAUUAUAAAAAUGUGUAUCAUCAUGAUCGAGAUCCAACAAACUAUUUUCAUUGGGUGUAUGACCAUAGAAGGUUUUAUUCAUGUAAAUAGAACAACAAUUAUUCUCUAACUUACAUGAAUAACCAUAUUGCAAUAAACAUGAUCCAAUCAUAUUCAUGCUCAACGCAAACACUAAAUAACAUUUAUUUUAGGUUUAACACUAAUCCUGAAAGUAUAGGGAGUGUGCAAUGAUGAUCAUAUCAAUCUUGGAACCAUUUCCAAUACACAUCGUCACUUCACCCUUAACUAGUCUCUGUUCAUUCUACAACUCUCGUUUCGAGUUACUAUUCUUAGCAACUGGACUAGUAUCAAAUACUAAGGGGUUGUUAUAAACAUUAGUAAAGUACACAUCAAUAACAUGUAUAUCAAAUAUACCUAUGUUCACUUUGCCAUCCUUCUUAUCCGCCAAUUACUUGGGAUAGUUCCGCUUCCAAUGACUAGUCCCUUUGCAGUAGAAGCACUCAGUUUCAGGCUUAGGUCCAGACUUGGGUUUUUUCACUUGAGCAGCAACUUGUUUGCCGUUCUUCUUGAAGUUCCCCUUUCUUCCCUUUGUCCCUUUACUUGAAACUAGUGGUCUUGUUUACCAUCAACACUUGAUGCUUUUCUUGAUUUCUACCUUCAUCGAUUUUAGCAUCACGAAGAGCUUGAGAAUCGUUUCUGUUAUACCUUGCAUAUUAUAGUUCACCACAAAGUUCUACUAACUUGGUGAUGGUGACUAGAGAAUUCUGUCAAUCACUAUUUUAUCUGGAAGAUUAACUCCCACUUGAUUCAAGCGAUUGUAGUACCCAGACAAUCUGAGCACAUGCUCACUGCUUGAGCUAUUCUCCUCCAUAUUUUAGCUAUAGAACUUGUUGGAGACUUCAUAUCUCUCAACUCGGGUAUUUACUUGAAAUAUUAACUUCAACUCCUGGAACAUCUCAUGUGGUCCAUGACGUUCAAAACGUCUUUGAAGUCCCGAUUCUAAGCCGUUUAAGCAUGGUGCACUAAACUAUCAAUUAGUCAUCAUAUUGAGCUAGCCAAACGUUCAUAACAUCUGCAUCUUCUCCUGCAAUAGGUUUGUCACCUAGCGGUGCAUCAAGGACAUAAUUCUUCUGUGCAGCAAUGAGGAUAAACCUCAGAUCACGGAUCCAAUCCGCAUCAUUGCUACUAACAUCUUUCAACUUAGUUUUCUCUAGGAACAUAUCAAAAAAUAAAACGGGGAGCUAAACGCGAGCUAUUGCUACCAGGGCUAAGUUCAUGAUAAAUUUAAGUUCAAUUAAUCAUAUUACUUAAGAACUCCCACUUAGAUAGACAUCUCUCUAAUCCUUUAAGUGAUCACGUGAUCCAUAUCAACUAAACCAUGUCCGAUCAUCAUGUGAGAUGGAGUAGUUUCAAUGGUGAACACCACUAUGUUGAUCAUAUCUACUAUAUGAUUCACGCUCGACCUUUCAGUCUCAGUGUUCUGAGGGCAUAUCUGCAUAUGCUAGGCUCGUCAAGUUUAACCUGAGUAUUCCGCGUGUGCAAAACUGGCUUGCACCCAUUGUAGAUGGACGUUGAGCUUAUCACACCCGAUCAUCACGUGGUGUCUGGGCACGACGAACUUUGGCAAUGGUGUAUACUCAGGGAGAACACUUUUUAUCUUGAAAUUUAGUGAGAGAUCAUCUUAAAAUGCUACCGUCAAUCAAAGCAAGAUAAGAUGCAUAAAAGAUAAACAUCAUAUGCAAUCAAUAUAAGUGAUAUGAUAUGUCCAUCAUCAUCUUGUGCUUGUGAUCUCCAUCUCCGAAGCACCGUCAUGAUCACCAUCGUCACCGACACAACACCUUGAUCUCCAUCAUAGCAUCGUUGUCGUCUUACCAAUCUUAUGCUUUUACGAUUAUCGCUACCGCUUAGUGAUAAAGUAAAGCAUUACAGGGCGAUUGCAUUGCAUACAAUAAAGCGACAACCAUAUGGCUCCUGCCAGUUGCCGAUAACUCGGUUACAAAACAUGAUCAUCUCAUACAAUAAAAUUUAGCAUCAUGUCUUGACCAUAUCACAUCACAACAUGUCCUGCAAAAACAAGUUAGACGUCCUCUACUUUGUUGUUGCAAAUUUUACGUGGCUGCUACGGGCUUUAGUAAGAACCGUUCUUACCUACGCAUCAAAACCACAACGAUAGUUUGUCAAGUUGGUGCUGUUUUAACCUUCUCAAGGACCGGGCGUAGCCACACUCGGUUCAACUAAAGUUGGAGAAACUGACACCCGCCAGCCACCUGUGUGGAAAGCACGUCAGUAGAACCAGUCUCGCGUAAGCGUACGCGUAAUAUCGGUCCGGGCCGCUUCAUCCAACAAUACCGCCGAACCAAAGUAUGACAUGCUGGUAAGCAGUAUGACUUAUAUCGCCCACAACUCACUUGUGUUCUACUCGUGCAUAUGACAUCUACGCAUAAAACCUGGCUCGGAUGCCACUGUUGGGGAACGUAGUAAUUUCAAAAAAUUUCCUACGCACACACAAGAUCAUGGUGAUGCAUAGCAAUGAGAGGGGAGAGUGUUGUCCACGUAUCCUUGUAGACCGAAAGCAGAAGCGUUAGCACAACACGGUUGAUGUAGUCGUACGUCUUCACGAUCCGACCGAUCAAGUACCGAACGCACGACACCUCUGAGUUCUGCACACGUUCAACUCGAUGACGUCCCUCGAACUUCGAUCCAGCCAAGUGUUAAGGGAGAGUUUUGUCAGCACGACGACAUGGUGACGAUGAUGAUGUUCUACCGACGCAGGGCUUCACCAAAGCACCGCUACGAUAUGAUCGAGGUGGAUUAUGGUGGAGGGGGGCACCUCACACGGCUAAGAGAUCAAGAGAUCAAUUGUUGUGUCUUUGGGGUGCCCCUGCCCCCGUAUAUAAAUGAGUGGCGGAGGGGGAGGGCCGACCAUCUCUAUGGCGUGCCCUAGGGGAGUCCUACUCCCACCAGGAGUAGGAUUCCCCCUUUCCUAGUAGAACUAGGAGCCCUCCCAAGUAGUAGGAGUAGGAGGGAAGGAAAGGGAAGGGAAAAGGAGAAGGAAAGAAGGGGGCGCCCCCCUCCCUAGUCCAAUUCGGACCAGCCCAUGGGGAGGGGUGCGACCACCCUUUGAGGCCUUUCUCUCCUUUUCCGUAUGGCCCAUUAAGGCCCAAUACGAAUUCCCGUAACUCCCCGGUACUCUCGAAAAUACCCGAAUCACUCGGAACCUUUCCGAUGUCCGAAUAUAGUCGUCCAAUAUAUUGAUCUUUACAUCUCGACCAUUUCGAGACUCCUUGUCAUGUCCCCGAUCUCAUCCGGGACUCUGAACUCCUUCGGGACAUCAAAACACAUAAACUCAUAAUAUAACCGUCAUUGAACUUUAAGCGUGCAGACCCUACGGGUUCGAGAACUAUGUAGACAUGACCGAGACACGUCUCCAGUCAAUAACCAAUAGCGGAACCUAGAUGCUCAUAUUGGCUCCUACAUAUUCUAUGAAGAUCUUUGUCGGUCAAACCGCAUAACAACAUACGUUGUUCCCUUUGUCAUCGGUAUGUUAUUUGCCCGAGAUUCGAUCAUCGGUAUCUCAAUACCUAGUUCAAUCUCGUUACCGGCAAGUCUCUUUACUCGUUCCGUAGCACAUCAUCCUGCAACUAACUCAUUAGUUGCAAUGCUUGCAAGGCUUAUAGUGAUGUGCAUUACCGAGUGGGCCCAGAGAUACCUCUCCGACAAUCGGAGUGACAAAUCCUAAUCUCGAAAUACGCCAACCCAACAAGUACCUUCGGAGAUACCUGUUGAGCACCUUUAUAAUCACCCAGUUAUGUUGUGAUGUUUGGUAGCACACAAAGUGUUCCUCCGGUAAACGGGAGUUGCAUAAUCUCAUAGUCAUAGGAACAUGUAUAAGUCAUGAAGAAAGCAAUAGCAACAAACUAAAUGAUCAAGUGCUAUGCAAACAGAAUGGGUCAAGUCAAUCACAUCAUUCUCUAAUGAUGUGACCCCAUUAAUCAAAUGACAACUCAUGUCUAUGGCUAGGAAACUUAACCAUCUUUGAUUCAACGAGCUAGUGAAGUAAAGGCAUACUAGUGACAUACUGUUUGUCUAUGUAUUCACACAUGUAUUAUGUUUCUGGUUAAUACAAUUCUAGCAUGAAUAAUAAACAUUUAUCAUGAUAUAAGGAAAUAAAUAAUAACUUUAUUAUUGCCUCUAGGGCAUAUUUCCUUCAAAGGAUUCAUCGCAUUUCACGAUAUAGAGCCGCCGCCAAGCCAUGUUCUUCCUCAGGAGGGCAGAUCUGGAGUCCGUUUGGGGCUCCGGAGAGGGGAAUCCGUUACCAUCGUCAUCAUCAACCAUCCCCCUCACCAAUUUCAUGAUGCCCACCGCCGUGCGUGAGUAAUCCCAUUGUAGGCUUGCUGGACUGUGAUGGGUUGAUGAGAUUUACCAUGUAAUCGAGUUAGUUUUGUUAGGGUUUGAUCCCUAGUAUCCACUAUGUUCUAAGAUUGAUGUUGCCAUGACUUUGCAAUGCCUAAUGGUUGUCACUAGGGCCCGAGUGCCAUGAUUUCAGAUCUGAACCUAUUAUGUUUUCAUGAAUAUAUUUGUGUUCUUGAUCCAAUAUUGCAAGUUAUAGUCACCUACUACAUGUUAUGAUCUGGCAACCCUGGAGUGACAGUAGUCGGGACCACUCCCGGUGAUGAACGUAGUUUGAGGAGUUCAUGUAUUCACUAAGUACUAAUGCUUUGGUUCGGUUCUCUAUUAAAAGGAGGCCUUAAUAUCCAUUAGUUCCCAAUAGGACCCCGCUGCCACAGGAGGGUAGGACAAAAGAUGUCAUGCAAGUUCUUUUCCAUAAGCACGUAUGACUAUAUUCAGAGUACAUGCCUACAUUAUAUUGAUGAAUUGGAGCUAGUUCUGUGUCACUCUAUGUUAUAACUGUUGCAUGAUGAAUGUCAUAUGACAUAAUUAUCCAUCAUUGGUCCAUUGCCUAUGAGCUUUUCACAUGUUGAUCUUUGCUAAGUUACUUUUCCAUUGCUACUGUUACGAUUGCUACAGAACUGCUACUGUUACUUUUGCCACUGUUACCGUUACUUCCAUACUACUUUGCUACUAAAUACUUUGCUGCAGAUAUUAUGUUUUUCAGGUGUGGUUGAAUUGACAACUCAGCUGCUAAUACUCAACAAUAUUCUUUGGCUCCCCGUGUGUCGAAUCAAUAAUUCUGCGUUGAAUACUCUACCCUUGAAAACUGUUGCGAUCCCCUAUACUUAUGGGUUAUCAAGGGAAUCGAUCAUGAAUGGCUUCUACGUCAUUCUUGCUGCCUUCCGAUGAUGCAUGAAUAGUUCACCAUAGACCUAAGGGUCGAUAGCUAGUAGCUUGAUGGCUUAUUCUGUCUCUUUGAUCUUCAAUACAAUGUUCUCCUCGAUGUUCUUCGAGUUCUAUCUGAUGUAAUCUUCUUUUGUGGUUUGUUUGUUGGGAUCUGAUGAAUUGUGGGUUUAUGAUCUGAAUAUUCAUGAUAAGUAAUUGAGUCUUUUUUGAACUUUAUUAUGCAGGUAGAGACCUAACCCAAUACUUGUCAAGUCUCUAUGCUUUCUGUGCCAUCCCUGGAUCAGUAUCCUGGCACGCACUGUACUUCGAUGAAAUACCAUAACAUCACAUGUAAAAUAAAUACCAUAGAUCCAGAGUAUACCUUAUAUAUCACUACAAAAAAGACACAUACGUGACAUUAUGGCCCGAACAAAAAAAAUUCGGUCAUGGUUAUGACACUUCUAUGAUGAUAAUUGUGACAAAAACACAUAUCACCAUAUAUGUGGUGGGCUCCUACUUCCAUGACAAAAAAUCAUGAUAGAAAAUGGGCUUUUCGUCCUAGGCGGGCCGGGGACGCACUUGCAUGACAUUCUUUGGGCCGGCCAUGACAAAAAAAUCAUGGUACAAGUGAGGGAGAGGAAAUUUUUGCGGAGUUCAUGGUUACGGUGGGUGGUCGGGGCCGAGUGAUGCAAUGUGGUUUAAUUUGCACAUUUCUCUCAUGUACGCGCGCGUGGUGCGAGCCGUGUCUCUAUAACUGAACCCGGGCGAGAGGCGUUCGGCUACUGAACCCGAGUGAUCGCACAACUACGCAUUGAAGCUGAUUGAUCGCUGCUAACUGAACGCGGCCGACUCCUUCGCUGCUAACUAAACCCAAUCAAUCGUUGUUGCUACUUACUGAAGCUGAUCGAACCCCGUGCAAGACGUAGCUAGCCGGCUGGGUUGCCUCUGGAUGAACAGUGCCCGUUGCUGCCGCACGCACGAUACAUAGGACGAGUCGAGACGUGGUGAGUCCAGCUAGUUGGUUGGUUGUGGAUGAACAGUUCCCUAUGGGGGUUGGAUGAACAGGACCCCAGCCAUGUGUAGGCGGUUGCAGCGGGAUGAAUAUGACCCCGUGGUAGUACGUGGUUGCCGCUGGAUGAACAGGAACCUGAGGAGGCCGCCACACCCCAGCCGAUGGGGGGUGGAUGAACAAGACCCAGUGUAGGCUGGUUAAACAGUAGCCGGUUGAGGCAGGAUGAACAGUAGCCCGUGGAUGAAAAGUGUCUGGUGGAGGCUGGAGGAAGUCGACGGUGGAUGAAUAGUAGUAGGUUGAGGCUGGAGGAAGUCGAUGGUGGAAGAAUAGUAGCCCGUGGAGGCUGGAGCGAGGCAGUAAUCGGUGGAUGAACAGUAGCCCGUGGAGUCCCAGUUUGCAGUAUGCCACACCCCUAGAUGAAUAGGACCCCGUUUCGACCGUAGAUGCUCGAAGAGAAGUCCGUUUCCUUCGUUUUUCAGUAUGCCACACCCUCCCGAUCAAUAGGACCGUGUUUCGGUUGUAGGAAGUUGGAGAGAAGUUUGUUUCCUCCGUUUUGCGGUAUGCCACACCCCUAGCCUCCCAAUGAUCCCGUUUUGACUGUAGGCAGUCCAACAGAAGUCUGUUUCCCCUGUUCUGUGGUAUGCCAGACCCCGUUUCGGCUGUUCCGUGCAAGCUGGUUGGCUCCCAUUGAACAUCACACAUUCCGGCCUAGUCGGUUGCCUCCCGAUGAGCACGACGUUGUUUCUCUGUUCCGACCCAGUCGGUUGGCUGCCAAUGAACAGGAUGCUUUCACUGUACGCGUUCGAGACCAUGCCCGUAUGUACAUGUGUGGCCGUCUUUUUUCCAGCGUGGUUGUAUGUAUGUGUACACGAUUUAGAAGGGACUGCCUGAAUAGCUAGCGCUCCUUACCGGGCCAUGGUUCAUCGUGGCAGACAAACAGAUGGACGAGUAUGUACGUACACGUUUGCGACCAGAAUGACAACGGUAUGUACUCUUCAACCGGGUGGGUCCCAACUAUCAUGGAGGAUAAGGAGGAACUUUCUUGCGUGCGAAGAUAUAGAUGGUGGGUCCGAGCUGUCAGGGGAGGAUUCAUUUUUUGCGCGUAAUAAGGAGGCACCUCCUUGCGUGCGAAGAUGUAGCAGGUGGGUCUAGUGGUCAGCCUCACCGCGUACAGUCCUCUUCCGAUGGCUAUCGUUCGUUAACCAUGUUGACCACGCCGUGCAGACAACACCCAGGCAGUGGACGAUUGUGAGGCAGCGAACGAAAUGGAGCCUGGGAAGACGCGGAGGGUAGUACGAGGGUUGACUGGUUCGACUGCGGUGUGAGGCUUCCGUCGCCGCAGAAUAAGUGGGUGAGUAGAGGGAUGGCCUGGCCAGCAGUUGGAGUAGGAGGGGGCGGUGAGGCCUGCGCGGCAGCACAACCGACCACGAGAGGCAGGAUCACACGGUGGUUUGGGCGGCUGGAGCAAGAAAAUCAGAGGUUGAAGAAGUAGGACGACCGUUGGAUGUUAAUAAUCCAACAGUCACUGCUGAUAGAAUCGUUUGUUGACUAAGUUGACAAAGCCCUGCAUACACGUCAACUUAGUAGGGCCACAAGUCAGCCUCCAAAUCGGGUGGGUCCUAGCUAGCAGUAAGAGGAAUCAUUUUUCUUGCGCGUAAUAAGGAGGCACUUUCUUGUGUGCGAAGAUGUAGCUGGCGGGUCUCAGCUGUUAGGGGGAGGAAACUUUUUUUCCAUGUAAUAAGGAGGCACUUGCUUGUGUGCGGAGAUGUAGUUGGUGGGUUCCACCUGCCAGUGAGAGGAAUCAUUUUUUUCGCGUAAUAACGAGGCACUUGCUUGCGUGCGGUCAUGGACCAUGUGGGUCCCUACUGUCAGCCGCUCCAUGUACAUCCCUCUUCCGAUGGCUGUCAUUUGUUGACUAUGUUGGCCAUGACGCAUCAAGAGCACCAACGCAGUGGACGAUAGCGAGGCCUAGGAAGGGAAUGACCUGGAGCCAGGGAAAACUCGGCAGUGGUUUCCCACACAGUGGGGAGUACGAGUGUUUACUAGUUCGGCUGCCGUCGCCGGAAAAUAACAGGAGGUGUGGGUGAGUAGAGUAAUGGCCUGGACAGUGAUGGCAGUAGGGUGGGGAGGUGAGGCCUGCGCGGUAGCACAACCGACCAUGGGAGGUGGGAGCAGGCGGUCCCACCAGCACUGGUUUGGGCGGCUAGAGCAAGAAGAUCAGAUAUUGAAGAAGCAACAUGGUCGUUGGAUUAACAUCCAAUGGUAAGUGCUGCUAGAAUCAUUUGUGGACUAAGUUGACAAAGCCAUGCGUACACGUCAACCUAGUAGACCCACAAGUUAGCCUCCAAAUCUGUCACAACCAGCAUACAACCCAAAAUUUCUAGCCAGAUUCAAAUUAAUUUAAAAACACAUACCUUAAUUUAAAAUCCAACGAAAUUUUAUUCGCACAAAAACAAUGAAAUUUAAAAUAUCAAAAUUCGAAAGAAAAAAGUAAUUUGGAACUAAUUGCCCAUUUGCUGUACUUUUUAAAUUUACAGCUCAUUUCUUAUUACUUAUAGCCCAUUUUCUGGGCAAGCCGAAUGCAUCCUUCCUCGUAUUGAAAGAUUUCCGGCUCAGCAGGGCGUAGAAAAGCAAGUGGGCCUCCAUUGGGUAUUCUACAAAAAAAUAGUCGGGCUAGCCAUUUUCUGAAAGAAAAAAAAUCUAGGCUGGUCAUGUGGUAAACAUAUGAAAUAAAGGCCUAGGCUAGACGGGCUACAACUCCUGCACUACCCAGUUGAUACCCUGCUCCAUCCCAAAAACAAAAAAAUACUGCUCGAGCUACUGGGUCCCAGGUGUCAGCCGCUCCUUGUGCACUUAUCUCGCUUAUUGAGUACAUUGAUAGUGGCGUGUGACCUAGAUGUCAGGAAACAAUCUGGAGGAACCAUUUUUUUCUUG
rnacentral:lncRNA from 1 species